GCAGGCAGAUUCAAUUUUUCCUGCCACCGGAAUACAUUAGCAUGGGAUAAUGGAAUAGGACCCUGUCCUCCUAUUUUCAGUUGGUUUUGGCAGCGCGAGGACUAGGGUAAUGAUUAAUAGGGAUAGUUGGGGGCAUUAAUAUUUAAUUGUCAGAGGUGAAAUUCUUGGAUUUAUGAAAGAUUAACUUCUGCGAAAGCAUCUGCCAAGGAUGUUUUCAUUAAUCAAGAACGAAAGUUAGGGGAUCGAAGACGAUCAGAUACCGUCGUAGUCUUAACCAUAAACGAUGCCGACCAGCGAUUAGGAGACGUUGAAUACAAAACACCACCAUCGGCGCGGUCGUCCUUGGCGUUCGUGUUCACGCACGGGCGCGAGGGCGGCUUAGCCCGGUGGCACCGGUGAAUGACUCCCUAGCA
rnacentral:rRNA from 2 species